rnacentral:rRNA from 1 species
GACGAACGCUGGCGGCGUGCUUAACACAUGCAAGUCGAACGGAAAGGCCCUGCUUUUGUGGGGUGCUCGAGUGGCGAACGGGUGAGUAACACGUGAGUAACCUGCCCUUGACUUUGGGAUAACUUCAGGAAACUGGGGCUAAUACCGGAUAGGAGCUCCUGCUGCAUGGUGGGGGUUGGAAAGUUUCGGCGGUUGGGGAUGGACUCGCGGCUUAUCAGCUUGUUGGUGGGGUAGUGGCUUACCAAGGCUUUGACGGGUAGCCGGCCUGAGAGGGUGACCGGCCACAUUGGGACUGAGAUACGGCCCAGACUCCUAAGGGAGGCAGCAGUGGGGAAUAUUGCACAAUGGGCGGAGGCCUGAUGCAGCAACGCCGCGUGCGGGAUGACGGCCUUAGGGUUGUAAACCGCUUUCGCCUGUGACGAAGAGUGAGUGACGGUAAUGGGUAAAGAAGCACCGGCUAACUACGUG